AUGGGCGUAAAGGCGCAGAGCGUGUGGUACCUGACGCACUGGCUGAUGGGAGUGGUGGUGUGUGUGGUGGGAGUGGCCGCCGUCUACAUCGACCUCCACACACCCGGGAGAGGACCCGCAGGAGAAUCAGGUUCUAGACGGUGCUCCUCAUCUCCAAGGUCUCCACCAUGGUGCUCAUCUACCUCCUGCAGGACAGGUGGAACCACUCGUGCGGCAAGAGGCGGCCACCAACAAGCAAUCAACAUGUUCAACGACAAUGGAGAAGCCGUCAUACCCCACCAACGACCCAAGGGGGUGGCCGUCAUGCCAUAA
rnacentral:rRNA from 1 species